UGCAGUCGAGCGGACAGAAGGGAGCUUGCUCCCGGAUGUUAGCGGCGGACGGGUGAGUAACACGUGGGUAACCUGCCUGUAAGACUGGGAUAACUCCGGGAAACCGGAGCUAAUACCGGAUAGUUCCUUGAACCGCAUGGUUCAAGGAUGAAAGACGGUUUCGGCUGUCACUUACAGAUGGACCCGCGGCGCAUUAGCUAGUUGGUGAGGUAACGGCUCACCAAGGCGACGAUGCGUAGCCGACCUGAGAGGGUGAUCGGCCACACUGGGACUGAGACACGGCCCAGACUCCUACGGGAGGCAGCAGUAGGGAAUCUUCCGCAAUGGACGAAAGUCUGACGGAGCAACGCCGCGUGAGUGAUGAAGGUUUUCGGAUCGUAAAGCUCUGUUGUUAGGGAAGAACAAGUGCAAGAGUAACUGCUUGCACCUUGACGGUACCUAACCAGAAAGCCACGGCUAACUACGUGCCAGCAGCCGCGGUAAUACGUAGGUGGCAAGCGUUGUCCGGAAUUAUUGGGCGUAAAGGGCUCGCAGGCGGUUUCUUAAGUCUGAUGUGAAAGCCCCCGGCUCAACCGGGGAGGGUCAUUGGAAACUGGGAAACUUGAGUGCAGAAGAGGAGAGUGGAAUUCCACGUGUAGCGGUGAAAUGCGUAGAGAUGUGGAGGAACACCAGUGGCGAAGGCGACUCUCUGGUCUGUAACUGACGCUGAGGAGCGAAAGCGUGGGGAGCGAACAGGAUUAGAUACCCUGGUAGUCCACGCCGUAAACGAUGAGUGCUAAG
rnacentral:rRNA from 2 species